UACACUCCUGCGGGAGGCAGCAGUGAGGAAUAUUGGACAAUGGGUGGAAGCCUGAUCCAGCCAUCCCGCGUGCAGGAAGACGGCCCUAUGGGUUGUAAACUGCUUUUAUCUGGGGAUAAACCUACUUACGUGUAAGUAGCUGAAGGUACCAGAAGAAUAAGCACCGGCUAACUCCGUGCCAGCAGCCGCGGUAAUACGGAGGGUGCAAGCGUUAUCCGGAUUUAUUGGGUUUAAAGGGUCCGUAGGCGGUCUGAUAAGUCAGUGGUGAAAUCCGACAGCUUAACUGUCGAACUGCCAUUGAUACUGUUAGUCUUGAGUAAGGUUGAAGUGGCUGGAAUAAGUAGUGUAGCGGUGAAAUGCAUAGAUAUUACUUAGAACACCAAUUGCGAAGGCAGGUCACUAAGUCUUAACUGACGCUGAUGGACGAAAGCGUGGGGAGCGAACAGGAUUAGAAACCCUGGUAGUCCCAUGAU
rnacentral:rRNA from 1 species